GAUGAACGCUGGCGGCGUGCCUAAUACAUGCAAGUCGAGCGAACAGACGAGGAGCUUGCUCCUCUGACGUUAGCGGCGGACGGGUGAGUAACACGUGGAUAACCUACCUAUAAGACUGGGAUAACUUCGGGAAACCGGAGCUAAUACCGGAUAAUAUAUUGAACCGCAUGGUUCAAUAGUGAAAGACGGUUUUGCUGUCACUUAUAGAUGGAUCCGCGCCGCAUUAGCUAGUUGGUAAGGUAACGGCUUACCAAGGCAACGAUGCGUAGCCGACCUGAGAGGGUGAUCGGCCACACUGGAACUGAGACACGGUCCGGACUCCUACGGGAGGCAGCAGUAGGGAAUCUUCCGCAAUGGGCGAAAGCCUGACGGAGCAACGCCGCGUGAGUGAUGAAGGUCUUCGGAUCGUAAAACUCUGUUAUUAGGGAAGAACAAAUGUGUAAGUGACUAUGCACGUCUUGACGGUACCUAAUCAGAAAGCCACGGCUAACUACGUG
rnacentral:rRNA from 1 species